CCUACGGGAGGCAGCAGUGAGGCAUAUUGGUCAAUGGGCGCAAGCCUGAACCAGCCAAGUCGCGUGAGGGAUGACGGUCCUAUGGAUUGUAAACCUCUUUUGUCGGGGAGCAAGGCCCGCCACGUGUGGCCGGAAGGAGAGUACCCGAAGACAAAGCCGCGGCUAACUCCUUGCCAGCAGCCGCGUGAAUGCGGAGGAUGCGAGCGUGCUCCGGAUUUAUUGGGUUUAAAGGGUGCCGAGGCGGAAGGUUAAGUCAGUGGUCAAAUGUCGGUGCUCAACACCGGCCUGCCGUUGAAACUGGUAGUCUUGAGUGGGCGAGAAGUAUGCGGAAGGCGCGGUGUAGCGGUGACAUGCAUAGAUAGCGCGCAGAAAUCCGAUUGCGAAGGCAGCAUACCGGAGCUAAACUGACGCUGCGGCACGAAAGCGUGGGGAUCGAACAGGAUUAGAUACCCCGGUAGUC
rnacentral:rRNA from 1 species